rnacentral:rRNA from 1 species
GAUGAACGCUGGCGGCGUGCCUAAUACAUGCAAGUCGAGCGAACAGAUAAGGAGCUUGCUCCUUUGACGUUAGCGGCGGACGGGUGAGUAACACGUGGGUAACCUACCUAUAAGACUGGGAUAACUUCGGGAAACCGGAGCUAAUACCGGAUAACAUUUGGAACCGCAUGGUUCUAAAGUGAAAGAUGGUUUUGCUAUCACUUAUAGAUGGACCCGCGCCGUAUUAGCUAGUUGGUAAGGUAACGGCUUACCAAGGCGACGAUACGUAGCCGACCUGAGAGGGUGAUCGGCCACUCUGGAACUGAGACACGGUCCAGACUCCUACGGGAGGCAGCAGUAGGGAAUCUUCCGCAAUGGGCGAAAGCCUGACGGAGCAACGCCGCGUGAGUGAUGAAGGGUUUCGGCUCGUAAAACUCUGUUAUUAGGGAAGAACAAAUGUGUAAGUAACUGUGCACGUCUUGACGGUACCUAAUCAGAAAGCCACGGCUAACUACGUG